UUCAAAGCAGCUCAGACUAUCAACCUCUUAAAAACACGCCAGUCCCUCCCCAGGUGAACUGUCCAGGGGGAAUUUGCCCUUCUGGGUUCUUCCCUUCACAGUAACUCCUGGCUCUGUCAUACUUCCUGCCCUCUGUGAGGCCGGCCACUCCAGCUAGAUACCCCACCCUACCUCCCUGUCACCUCCCCCUUGCUGGACCCGCCUCCCAGGGUAAAGGUCACUGCCCUGUCACACUGGGCCCUGUCACCAGGACAGGCUCUGAGCUACACACCCACCUUGAACUCUUCCGUUACCCCGUGCCUUUCCAGCUCACUGCCACUAUUCAUGGUCAAGGUAGACAUGUUGGAGAAAAGAAUAUUAAGCUUACCUGUAGGAAGAGGCAAUGAAGAAAAUGGAGUUGGGUACAACUGAUUCCAUUGUGAAAUAGCAACAAGAUGGACAGUUUUCUUGAAUCAGGAAGGGAGAGGCUGCUCAACAGGGAAGGAGCUGCUGUGCCCUCUGACCCACCCCUGGAACCUGGAAGGAGCCUUAAAUCCAGGCCAGUGAGCCACAGCUGCACCCGGCCUGCUGGGAGGCCUCCAUCUUCCUAUAUGUCAAAUGGAGAUCAUGACUGACAGAUUCCUGACCCCAUCAGAGAGAGCUCUGCUUCGGGAGUCCUCUGCCAAAGCACACUAUCAAGUCUUUGGUCUCUGA